GACGAACGCUGGCGGCGUGCUUAACACAUGCAAGUCGAACGGAAAGGCCCUGCUUGCAGGGUACUCGAGUGGCGAACGGGUGAGUAACACGUGGGUGAUCUGCCCUGCACUUCGGGAUAAGCCUGGGAAACUGGGUCUAAUACCGGAUAGGAGCCAUUUUUAGUGUGAUGGUUGGAAAGUUUUUUCGGUGUAGGAUGAGCUCGCGGCCUAUCAGCUUGUUGGUGGGGUAAUGGCCUACCAAGGCGGCGACGGGUAGCCGGACUGAGGGGGUGGACGGCCACAUUGGGACUGAGAUACGGCCCAGACUCCUACGGGAGGCAGCAGUGGGGAAUAUUGCACAAUGGGCGCAAGCCUGAUGCAGCGACGCCGCGUGGGGGAUGACGGCCUUCGGGUUGUAAACUACUUUCGCUAGGGACGAAGCUUUUUGUGACGGUACCUAGAUAAGAAGCACCGGCUAACUACGUG
rnacentral:rRNA from 1 species